GCCCCCGUAGCUCAGCUGGAUAGAGCGCACCCCUCCUAAGGGUGAAGUCGGACGUUCGAAUCGUCUCGGGGGCGCCA
rnacentral:tRNA from 1 species